AGUUCGGAGAAUUCGGAGCUCUAGGAUGAUCCCAGAGUAUCCGACUUGGAAUUCCGAGGUGGAUGACCGUUCAAAACAAAUUUUCCAAGUCGAAACACAUUUUUCCGAAUAGACAGUUGUAUUGAACACACUGAGGUCAGAUGUCGGAGAUUUCCGAGUUGUAUGGAACGCUGCAUGACGCCAACAUCUCUCCUAUUAUGGGGGAGAUUUUUUUUUUAACUAGGCAAGUCAGUGAAGAACAAAUUCUUAUUUAUAAUGACGGCCUACACCGGCCAAACCCGGACAACGCUGAGCCAAUUGUGCGCCGCCCUAUGGGACUCCCAAUCACAGCCGGUUGUGAUACAGCCUGGAUUCGAACCAGAGUGUUUGUAGUGACGCCUCUAGCACUGGAAUGCAGUACCGUAGACCGCUGCGCUGCGCCACUCGAUAUCAGUAUCAGGAAAUGAUCUCCAUAACAGAUUUUUGGGCAGACUAGAAGACACUCGGCAUCUCUCCUCUGAUGGCUGCCAUGAAUGGUCACGUCCCCUGCGGUCAAGCUGCUGCUGGACAUGGGCUCAGACAUCAACACUCAGAUCGAGACCAAAUGUAACACAGCACUGACCCUGGCCUGCCAACAUGGAGCACUGCGUCAAGGUGAGAGCAGCCGUCAUCGGCUGAACCUGACAUGUUAUGUUGUCUGGGCUAGAGUCAAAGAUAUUAGGAAUGAUGUUUGGUGCAGUAUGUCACUGACCCAAACGUUCUCUCUGACUGGUCAAACUCCUCUCAUGGAGGCUGUGUCAGGUGGCUAUGCUGAGAUGGGGCAUGUGCUGCUGGACAAGAGCGCUGACGCCACCUGUCCAAACCUCCCAAGACACCGCGUGCACCAUUGCUGCAGACAAGGGCCACUGCAAGUUCUGUGAGCUCCUCAUCAACGGGUAAUUACUGUUACAGUCUAGCUACAGUAUGAGAGUGAGUGUCAUUUCAGUCAGAAUACCAUUCCUCUCCAGUCUCAUUGCUCAGAGCUGCGACUCAUCUCUGAGUGAGUUAUUACAGUGUUAUAACCAGCAGUGUGUGUAGUUCGGCAUUUGCUUCUCGCUAAAGUCCAAACUAUUCACAUUUCCUCUCUCCUUUAGUCUGGUCCAUCUCAGAGCUGUGACCAAUAAAAUCAAUGCAAAUCAAAGUGUAUUUGUCACGUGCGCCGAAUACGUAGACCUUAUAGUGAAAUGCUUACUUUACAACCCUCAUUUCCCGGGCGUAACAUGUGACUUCUCUCUGAGUGAAUAUGUGUGCUGUUGUAGAUGGGGCUCUGUUCCCUACCCUGUGAUUUGUUGUAUGAAUUGCUGUGAUUUGAGGCUGUAGUUUCUGUUUUAUUUGUAUUGUAUGUGUGCGUAUAAGGGGACACUGCUGAGGAGGAUGUGUGGCUCAGGGCUAUGUUCCCUACUCCCUACAAAGCAUUUUGUUGUAUGAAUUGUAAUAAUAUCUUAUCUGUUUUUUCUUGUUUUCUUUUUUGGUAUAAAAUAUACUUCUGAGCAAUGACUAAAUGUCUACUUGUUAAUUGUUUCAGGUUGUUAGUUUACAACUAUCAGGGGGGGGGGGGGGGUUGAGGGAUAAUAUGAAUUUGCAUCAGGACACUUCUGAGUGGACUCUGGCGAUACACCUGCAGGAUCGACUUAUUUCUGGCAGACAGAAUGGGCCGAUUCUGGGCAGGCAUUCAAUAUGACAUCGUUGCUAGCUGGGUAAAAUGUCAGAAGAUCUUUUAGUUUUAGUUACAGCACAAUAAAAAAGCAAUACAAAUUGUCGUUACCGCCACCAUGUCACGCCCUGACCUUAGAGAUCCUUUUUAUGUCUCUAUUUUGGUUUGGUCAGGGCGUGAGUUGGGGUGGGCAUGCUAUGUUUUGUUUUUCUAUGAUUUUCUAUUUCUAUGUUUUGGCCGGGUAUGGUUCUCAAUCAGGGACAGCUAUCUAUCGUUGUCUCUGAUUGGGAACCAUACUUAGGUAGCCCUUUUUCCACCUGUCAUUGUGGGAAGUUGACUUUUGUUUAGGGCACAUAGCCUGUAGCUUCACAGUUUGUUUUUGUAGUGUUUGUUGUUUUUGUUCGGCGUCAUUUCUUAUCAAUAAAAAUAAAAUGUACGCUCAUGACGCAUGCA